AGUCAGUGCUUAGUGCGUCGUGCAUCUCAUUCUUGGGCAGGAUUAUGUUGGCGACAGUCAGACACGAGCCUAUGCUCAGGCAGCGCACAAAGCAGCUUCUGAACCAUUGAAACGGUAAGUUCUGUUGAUUAUCCUUCAAUUAGCCUACAUGUAACCUCAGCACUGUUAAUAUAUUACUGUGGUAAAUUUUAAUUGGGGAUUUUUCGUCAAAAUUCAGGCGGACCAUCAACCAGAGGCGAACUAAGCAUAACGGCAUCCUAUUCAGCCAAACGGUUGAUGGAUGAUGGACAAUGACAGGUUUCAGAUCGAAUGUUGCCUGGACUACUGAUGACCAUUCCAUGGCCUUCUGGCCAUCUUAUGCAGAUCCCAAUCAAAAUGGCAUUACUGAUGCAUGAAGUCCUUGGACCAUCGUGGACCACCCACACCAUUGUAAUUUUGGGCACUGCAGGACGUACCUAAGGCGUGGGACUAGUAGAACAUAAACGGCACCAACUACGUCAGCACAUCCCCCAGUAUUGUGGCUCCUGCUGGGCAAACGGCAGCAGCAGUGCCAUGGUAGGUAACACGCACAGCCAUGUGAUUUAACCUGGAGGCUGACUAAUCUACUUCCUGUUUCAAGGCCACACUUGUGCAGUCUUUGUUCACUUGCUUGUUUCUGUAGGAGGCUGAAUCAGCUCUUCUGUAAAUCCUGUUACCUGCAGGAAGAGCUCUUAUUGUGUGUGUGUGGUGUGAGGAGCAUGUGUGUUUAAUCAAAGUACACAGGCUUAAAACUGCA